CCGCCCUCUUUAAUUAUUUAUUGCUUUUCUGUCUGAAAUCAAGAUUACAACUCCAACUUUGUUAGAUACCUGAGGCAUGGUAAUUUUUUUCCAAACCUUCAUUUCAAUUCUGACUAUCACUUUUAAAAAAAUGUUUCUGUAUGAAGACAGAGCAAACUGUAGAAGUUUGUUUCCUUGUCCAUUUCCUUAGGGCAUUUAACCCAUUAACAACGUUUGUUAAUCUGUUAUAAUUGUCUCCUUAGUGGCUCUUAGCUAGCUAAACAUUCUAUAAUACCAUUACUGAUGUCACUAGUGACAUCAUGAAUACCCUGUUCCUUAUAUAUGGAGAUGUCUCUAACCAGGGAAAGAUGCCUAAUCCACUACACAUGGAUAUUUUUAAUGUAAUUAACAUUUUCUUAACUCUUUUCUCUCAGGAGAUUAUUCACAGGGGAUUUGAUGCUCAGGGCUGAGGCAGAAGACACCAUCUUAAUCUAGGUCUGACAGUUUUGAAUGGCAAGUCAAGAGACUGAAGAAAUCACUAUCCAACCGACCCCCAAACCUCAUCUGGACAAGAGGGUAUCUCUGGCUCCCUUCUGUCUCAUGCCUGUAACCCUCCAACAGCUUAUCUGCCUCCUCUUUCAAUUAUUAUUUAGUCAGAAAGGAAAAUGACUUCAUUUUUAUAAAAUACUUUUGGACAGGAGGUACUGUCGAUCAAAAACAGGUUCUAAAGGAGUUAUUAAAGCAAUCUUCAAUUUUCAA